GCCCAACCCGUCACGUGACCUCGCGUCACGGGCGAAGGAGGAGCCACAACACGUCGCUCGUGCGCGGCUUCAGAGUCAGCCUAGGCGGCGCGCGGCCUCUUCCAGCCACCACCUCCACCCCAACCCCGCGAAGCCAACCGCGUGGAGGUGGGGACCACAGAAAGGAACAAAUAAGGGAGACUUGAUAAUAUGUAUUGUACUCGGAGUCAUCAGGAGAGUAUUACCCACCGCAUACAAGGUGCCCACAACUGCAGCUCGUCGUCGCGCCGUGAUGACCUCACAAAGCACCACAGGUUACUCCCCUGUGGCCGCCCUGUGCUCAUCACGUGAUGUGGUCCAACCACUCAGGGCAAGCCUGGCCUCCCAAAUGUUGCACGAGGGGACCACGACUCCCAACAUGCUGCACAGCCAAGGCGACCCCUACCGCAGCCUUUCUCCAGCGGGCUUCUAGACGAACCCCCUAGAGACCUUAGAGCCGAGGGAAGGCCGGGACGGAAAGCGGACUAAGCUGGCUUGAAGGACUAAUACCAUUGGAUGCCGCCCGCCAUGUGGCGGAGCGUGGUGCCUGCUGGGAGGUGUAGUCCUGGCGGGGGGUGGGGUUCCGCUCCCACGUUCCUGGGCUCGCUCUGCGCCCUGCCCCCUGCGCGGGAAAACGCCAACGGCUAGCAGCGAGAGCCUCGGCAAGGCGGAAGGUGCGCCCACUUUUAGUCUUUUUCAGUGCGGUUUUACUUUUGCCCUCCCAAGCCCCUUCUGGGUGAAAAGACUAGAAUCUACUGAACGCCUACUCCAAGUCAGCCGUUUAUUUCUGUUAUAUCAUAUAAUCAACUCCUUGAGUCCAGGAUUUUCCCUAUUUAAGGAUUUAAAAAAAGAACCUUAGAGUUGUUUGUUGACCGAAGAGACCCAGGUUUUCUGUCUUUAGAAAAUUAAUGACCUCCUCUCAAUAGGAUCUGACCUGUUGUCAACUCCAAGAAUUACGAAUAAAUAAGAUGAUGGUUUAUAAUUGUAGCAUGGUGUUUUAAAGUAUUUUCCAUUUACUGGCCUGUUUGGAUGUGAGGGCGUUCUGGCUAUCUUGUCACCCCAUAGAUCGCCAGGGCUGAUUCGGCUGAUCUGGCUGUCUAGGCGGGUGGCCCCUUCCUCCCGCACCUCUCCAUGUGCGUCCCUCCCGAAGCUGCAUAUUCGGUCGAAAAGGAGGAGCAUCCCCCAUAGAAGAGGACAAGUCAAGGAUAUAGGAGUAGCUGCACGCCCGUGUUAACAAGCUCUCAAGGUCCUCUAAACAAGCUCUCAAGGUCUACUUACUGGCCUGUUUUAUCCCAAGCUAGUUACAUACAAGGACUUUGCAGUCCCGGCAUGCCUUAUCUCAAUUGGAGCUUUCCUCUGUAAUAACACUUCACCGGCUUGUGAAAAUUAAAUGAGAUUAUGUAAAAUGCCUGCUUGACACAUAAUAAACCCUCAGUAAGUAUCAGUAAUCAUUUUCACACUCUACCCAUCGGGCCCAAAAGGUCUAAGUAAGGUAGAAAGGGGAAAUUAGCUUAUACUGAACUUUGUACAGGGCACUAUGCUAAUUACUAAUUUGCUAGUUAUUAAGUAAAACAAUUGACAUCUUAAACAGCCCUAUCUAGUUCAAAUAAAGCCUUUGUUAUUCAUCUGAAUUAAAGAAUGCUGCCGGGCGUGGUGGCUCACACCUGUAAUCUCAGCACUUUGGGAGCCGGAGGAGGGCGGAUCACAAGAUACGGAGUUUGAGACCAGCCUGACCAACACGGUGAAACCCCGUCUCUGUUAAAAAUACAAAAAAAUGUCCGGGCGCGGUGGCUCACGCCUGUAAUCCCAACACUUUGGGAGGCCAAGGCGGGCCGAUC
rnacentral:lncRNA from 10 species